rnacentral:rRNA from 1 species
AGGGCACCACCAGGAGUGGAGCCUGCGGCUUAAUUUGACUCAACACGGGGAAACUCACCCGGCCCGGACACCGGAAGGAUUGACAGAUUGAUAGCUCUUUCUUGAUUCGGUGGAUGGUGGUGCAUGGCCGUUCUUAGUUGGUGGAGCGAUCUGUCUGGUUAAUUCCGAUAACGAACGAGACUCUAGCCUAUUAAAUAGACGUCGGGUUCUCUGCACUCGACGGUCUUCUUAGAGGGACAAGGUGCUUUUAGCACCGCGAAACAGAGCAAUAACAGGUCUGUGAUGCCCUUAGAUGUCCGGGGCCGCACGCGCGCUACACUGAAGGAAGCAGCGUGUAACAACCUUGUUCUAACGAACUGGGUAACCCGUGGAACUUCCUUCAUGAUUGGGAUAGGGGUUUGCAAUUGUGCCCCUUGAACGAGGAAUUCCAGUAAACACUAGUCAUCAGCUAGUGCUGAUUACGUCCCUGCCCUUUGUACACACCGCCCGUCGCUACUACCGAUUGAAUGGUUUAGUGAG